GGGAACACCCAACUUCAAAAAAAGGGACCCUCAAAAAGGUUCAGCUUGAUCCAUUCAAACCACCCAGUUCUGGAAUGACGAGGACAACUGCUGUAGCUCUGAUCUGCAGCUGACAAGGGAAGAAUAAGGUUGGCAUGUGGUCAAAAUUAGAACAGGAUGUCUAAGGUGGAAUUACUGUCCGUGGAAAUGUUCAAAAAGAUGUGUGGAUGUGGCACUGGGGGACAUGGUGGGCUUGGCAGUGUUGUGGAAACGCUCAGAGAUGAUGAUCUUGGACUGCUUCUCCGGGCCAGCCUGGAAUUCUCUGAUUCUCUGAUCUCCUGAAAACACCGUUUGGAGAAGCCUCUCAAGUGCCCCACCAAGAGGAGCCAUGCCCAGCCAGAUUCCCUCCGCCUGCGUUCCGCCGGUGUCUGCCUCGGCUUCCAGCUCCAUCAUCACAUCCAACAGAGCC